rnacentral:rRNA from 1 species
CACGUAGGGGGCGAGCGUUGUCCGGAUUUAUUGGGCGUAAAGAGCUCGUAGGUGGCUUAGUAAGUCGGGUGUGAAACCUCCAGGCUCAACCUGGAGACGCCACCCGAUACUGCUAUAGCUUGAGUCCGGUAGGGGAGCGUGGAAUUCCUGGUGUAGCGGUGAAAUGCGCAGAUAUCAGGAGGACACCAGCGGCGAAGGCGGCGCUCUGGGACGUUACUGACGCUGAGACGCGAAAGCGUGGGGAGCGAA